CCUUGUUACGGGUCGGCUUCUAUUAAGCUGUUGAUUAGCUUUUGUCGCCGGGGUAUCUCAUCAUCAGAAUCUGGAUUGAAAGGAGGAGAUGUGAAGAUCUCAUGAGACGUGACGUUGAAUCUUUAACGCGAUGUAACCAUAUCAAAGGCUGGUGAUCCGUUACUAAUGUGAAGCUGCAUUUAGUACUCUGGAAGCGUACGCGAUUGGAAGAUGUUGCCCGAUUGUACCUUGGCUGAGGACGCCCGCGAUUGCAUAAUUCGAAGCAUCCGUUGUUUGACAAAGGACUGGCUAGUUUUGAAAAAUUUGAAAUAAAACGACGGUAAUAUCUGGCGAGGCCGAGAAACUGACGCACGUUUUUUUGAUUUUUUGGUAUUGGAAAAUUCUUUAUUGCUUCUAACUUUUGCGGAUCAGGCCUAACUCUUAAGAUUCAAAUAUCAAGCCUCUUGUAAGGGGAGCUUGUCCCUUGGAGCAUUCAGGAGGAAAUGGUUCGACCAGCGUGAUAUCUGAAUUGGCGACGUCUGGUGAACAGAGAGAAGAUUCUUCGGAUAUUCUGCACCAAAGAAAAUGAUGAUUCAGCCUAUGACUGGUCAUAUAUAAAAGCUAGUUAGUCUUCGAGAGCAAUUUAUAACAUGGCCAACAGAAGACGAGGCAAUUCAAUCUAUUGUAACAUUUCAGCGGCAAAGAGGGAUUCCAAAUGUUAUUGGAGCAAUAGAUAGAACCCACAUUGUAAUAGAUACACCAAACGACAAUCCUGAAACAUAUAUUAAUAGAAAGGG